AUUGAACGCUGGCGGCGUGCCUAACACAUGCAAGUCGAGCGGCAGCGCGGGAGCAAUCCUGGCGGCGAGCGGCGGACGAGUGAGUAACGCUUGGGAAUCUGCCUGUUAGUGGGGGACAACCCGGGGAAACUCGGGCUAAUACCGCAUACGCACUACGGUGGAAAGCCGGGGACCGCAAGGCCUGGCGCUAACAGAUGAGCCCAAGUCGGAUUAGCUAGUUGGUAGGGUAACGGCCACCAAGGCGACGAUCCGUAACUGGUCUGAGAGGACGACCAGUCACACCGGAACUGAGACACGGUCCGGACUCCUACGGGAGGCAGCAGUGGGGAAUAUUGGACAAUGGGGGAAACCCUGAUCCAGCGACGCCGCGUGGGUGAAGAAGGCCUGCGGGUUGUAAAGCCCUUUCAGUGGGGAAGAAAAGCCUCGACCUAACACGUCGGGGUCUUGACGUAACCCAUAGAAGAAGCACCGG
rnacentral:rRNA from 1 species